rnacentral:rRNA from 1 species
CGCAGCCGCGGUAAUUCCAGCUCCAAUAGCGUAUAUUAAAGUUGUUGCAGUUAAAAAGCUCGUAGUUGAAUUUCAGGCCUGGCUGGACGGUCCGCCCUUCGGGUGAGUACUGUCUGUGGUCGGGUCCUACCUUCUGGCGAAGCGUCAUGGCCUUAACCGGCCGUGGCGGGGAACCAGGACUUUUACUGUGAAAAAUUAAGAGUGUUCAAAGCAGGCAAUCGCUUGGAUACAUUAGCAUGGAAUAAUGGAAUAGGACAAUGGUUCUAUUUGUUGGUUUCUAGGACCGUUGUAAUGAUUAAUAGGGAUAGUUGGGGGCGAUUAGUAUUCAAUUGUCAGAGGUGAAAUUCUUGGAUUUAUUGAAGACUAACUACUGCGAAAGCAUUUGCCAAGGAUGUUUUCAUUAAUCAAGAACGAAAGUUUAGGGGAGUCGAAGACGAUCAGAUACCGUCGUAGUCUUAACCAUAAACUAUGCCGACUAGGAAAUCGGGCGAUGUUUGACAAAAAUGACGCGCUCGGCACC